rnacentral:lncRNA from 1 species
UUGUAAAUGGCUCCUCAUUGGGAGGAUUAAAUACAACCUUUUUGUUAAAGCAGUCUAUGGUGGCGUGGUACGCCGCUAGCCAAUCCAUUCCUAGGAUUACAUCAAAAUCCCCCGUGUCUAACCCUAUCAGGUCUACGCUCAGUUUCCUAUCUGCUAUCUCCAUGGCACAUGCCCUGUAGAUAACCUCUCCUAGUAAUUUCUCCCCCCCAGCGGUAGAUACAAGCAAUAAUGAAUCAAGUCUAUCAGGUGAUACACAAAUUUUGGAAGCAAGAACAUGUGAAACAAAAGAAUGUGAUGCACCAGUGUCAAACAAAACAUGAGCAAUAUGGCCAGAGAUAGUAUAC